rnacentral:rRNA from 1 species
UACGUAGGGGGCAAGCGUUGUCCGGAUUUAUUGGGCGUAAAGAGCUCGUAGGCGGUUUGUCGCGUCUGCUGUGAAAACCUAAGGCUCAACCUUGGGCUUGCAGUGGGUACGGGCAGACUAGAGUGCGGUAGGGGGUGACUGGAAUUCCAGGUGUAGCGGUGAAAUGCGUAGAUAUCAGGAGGAACACCGGUGGCGAAGGCGGGUCUCUGGGCCGGAUACUGACGCUGGAGGAGCGAAAGCGUGGGGAGCGAACAGG